CACGUAGGGGGCAAACGUUAUCCGGAUUUACUGGGCGUAAAGCGCAUGUAGGUGGUUCUGUAAGUAGGGCGUGAAAGCUCCCGGCUCAACUGGGAGAGGCCGUUCUAAACUACAGAGCUAGAGGAUGGUAGAGGGAGGUGGAAUUCCAGGUGUAGCGGUGGAAUGCGCAGAUAUCUGGAGGAACACCAGUGGCGAAGGCGGCCUCCUGGACCAUUCCUGACACUCAGACGCGAAAGCUAGGGUAGCAAACCGGAUUAGAUACCCGGGUAGUCCAUGA
rnacentral:rRNA from 1 species